AAUGAACGCUAGCGACACGCCUAACACAUGCAAGUUGAAUGAAAUAUUCAUAUUGAAUGUUUCAUAGCGAACGGGUGAGUAAUACAUAAGAACUUGCCCAACAGUCUGGGAUAAGUAUAUUGACAUUGCAAAAUGUUAAGAAUUAAGGUAUUUAUUUUAAAUAUCUUAAGUAUAAAUACCGGAUAAUAUAAAAGAUUAAUCGCUGUUAGAUAGGCUUAUGGAGGAGUAUGGUAGUUGGUAGGGUAAUGGCCUACCAAGCCUUUGAUCCUUAGCCGGUUUGAAAGAACGAUCGGCCACACUGGGACUGAGACACGGCCCAGACUCCUACGGGAGGCAGCAGUGAGGAAUAUUGGACAAUGGGCGAAAGCCUGAUCCAGCGAUGUCGCGUGAGUGAUGAAGGCUCUUUUGGUUGUAAAGCUCUUUCGUUGGGGAAGAUAAUGACGGUACUCAAAGAAGAAGCCCCGGCUAACUCCGUGCCAGCAGCCGCGGUAAGGUGCGCG
rnacentral:rRNA from 1 species